rnacentral:misc_RNA from 1 species
AAAAAAAAGGUGUACUCUUCUAAACUUCUACAAGAAAGCCCUAUGGAGGAAAACUAAAUAAAUGCAGAAAAAAAUAAAAUCAGAGCAGCUAAGCAAUUUUAGCAAGGCUUAAUUUCAAAUCCAAUACUCAAUAGAGUUCGAGCCGAUUCCAUUGCUUUUUCUCCUCCAACAUCCAAUUUCUCACCAGUCAACUCACCUUCUUUGUCCACGGACCAUUGUGUGGUCGAUUUUUGAUGUUGUAGGGGUUCGGGUUUGUUAGCAUGCAUAGUGGUUACGGAAGCAGGGGCAGU